rnacentral:misc_RNA from 1 species
GCUAUUUUAGUUUACAUAAGAGCCAUAUGGUUGGAGAGCUGGGAAGAUGAGUCCUGCUGGAAUAGUUCUAGCUUGUCUCUAUCUAUAGAAGCUACAUCUCUGUUCAUUCAAAAUCUGUUAACUGCAUGCCAGAGCCAAUUCAUCAACUUAUCAUUGCUACAAUCUCUGUUGAUAAAUCCACAUGCCAAUAUAAACAGUUGUAACUUCCCAUUAUUCAGUUAUUGCACUGAAAUGAUAGAAAGAAAAGCUAUAACAAAAAUGCAACAUCAUGCAGCAGUAACAUAAGAAUAUGAUGUGACCUUCAGGGUGGAGGGCAUUCAAAUUUCGGCUUUAUUUAUGCUCAAUCAUGGCAUUGGGUUCACUAUUUAGUGGAAGCACCGGCCUAGCAGAGUAAAAGGUGCUGCAUCUACUUUAGAAGGAUUUCCCAACACCAUAUCAGCAAUCAUUUCCGCUGUUCCGAGAGCCAGUGAUAGU